UUUCCGUAGGUGAACCUGCGGAAGGAUCAUUAACGAUCAGUGUUUUAUGGCACUUUUUCGACAAUCCAUCUCCACCUGCUGUGCAGAGUUAGGUGACACUCUAUCAAGAUCUCUUAGGUUACGGAACGGGGAACGUCUCCAUCUUACCAACAGGGCGUGGAGCUUAUGUUUUUACACAUUUUUUAUCACGAGUAAACUUAGUACGAAUAUACAACUUUCAACCACGGAUCUCCUGCCUCUCACAUCUAGGAAGAACGCAGCACACAGGGAUGUAAAACG
rnacentral:misc_RNA from 1 species